UACGUAGGGUGCGAGCGUUAAUCGGAAUUGCUGGGCGUAAAGUGUGCGCAGGCGGCCGCGCAAGUCGAGUGUGAAAUCCCCGAGCUUAACUUGGGAAUUGCGCUCGAAACUACGUGGCUGGAGUGUGGCAGAGGAAGGUGGAAUUCCACGUGUAGCGGUGAAAUGCGUAGAUAUGUGGAGGAACACCGAUGGCGAAGGCAGCCUUCUGGGCCAACACUGACGCUCAUGCACGAAAGCGUGGGGAGCAAACAGG
rnacentral:rRNA from 1 species